rnacentral:ribozyme from 1 species
UGCUGAUCCAUUGUUUUUUUUUUUUGUAUUUUUUAAACUUGAAGGCGAGAUCAUACGCGUGGCAGGUUUAAACAGAAAAACCUGAAAAGCGGAGCGGAGCAGGAUGCUGGGAAGGAAAGAAAAAGAGAAAGACAAA